UUAGGAAUUUAUUAUAAAAUAUUUAUUAAUUAUUUUUGUAUCACCUACAUUAUUAUAUGCUUAAAAAGUUAUUAUUAUUUGUUAUUUUCACUUGAAUAAAUAGAUAUUGGAGUUUUAAUUAUUAUUAUCUAAUAAAAAUAUUUUCUUUUACGUUGCUCAUUUAUUUCAUUAUGAAAAUGUCAUUAGCUUAUAUACACUUAGUAUUUCUCACUUUUCUCUUCUCAUGUCGAAAUUAAUAUUUAGUUUUUAAAUAAUUUUUUGAAAUAUUAAAAAAUAAAAAACAGCAUGAUUUUGAAGAAGUAAAAGAUUACAAAUGUUGAUAAUGUUAAGAGUAAGAUAAGCAAUUUAAAAAGUCAAUUAGGAUAAAGGGAGAGAAUAUCUAUUAUUCAAAAUUGAAAAGAGAGUUUAAUUUUUAAAGCAAAGUUGAAUAAAUAAUUUUCAUCCUAUAAAAAAAAAAAUCUUAUAACAGUGAUUUGACAAAUUUGAAUGUACUAAGCAUUCCAAUUCUUGGCAACUCUUAUGAUAAUUUUUUAAUUUAAAAGUUCAAUUGGGUAUAUGCAGGUCAUUAGUGGAUUUUUUUUAUUUUUAAAAUAAGGGACAAAAUUUGGAUGAAAUAAUAUUGUAAAUAAUGUGCACGUGGACAUUAUUAUAAUUUAAAACUAAAUACGUAUAUUAAAUUAAUUGUAUUAUAAUUUUCAUAUGUACAAAUUUUUGAGAAUUAAUUAGGAGAAAGAAGCAUAUUUUAAUUAGUUCAAAAUGAAAAGAAAUUAGGAUGAUUAAUUCAUCUACAUAAUAUUGGGCCAAUUCCCUUCUUAUCCAAAUUAAAUCAGCAACCCAACAAAUCUGUGGCCCAAAAAAAUUCAGCAGCCCAACCAACCGACUCGGCCCAAACCCCACUUAAAACUAACGGCCCUUUCUUCUUAAAUCAACAACCCUAAAGGCCUAAACGUUGGGUUCCCCUCUGCUCUCUCUUCAACAAACCAUGGCUGCCACCCCUUCCACCUCGUCACUUCCAUCACUUCACCACCACCACGCCCCUAUCCCCAACGGCAAGUCGACCACUCUGCUAAGCAAACAAUGUUGAAGACAUCUGAAACAGAGAUAGAGAAACUAGUUAAAUUUUCUACAUAAUAUUGAAGCAGUUAGUAAGGAACAUGCAUUUGAAUUGAGGAAAAAGAACAAGGUUUCUUUCUUCCAGGUCAAACCUCACUGAGCAUUAGGAAAGCUAUCGUCCUUAAAUCUGUCUCUGGAUCUGAUGGAUGCUCUUCACCAGCGCCCAAAGUUUUCUUUAUAGUGUUAUUCUCCUCAGAUCACAUAGGUAGUCUAAAUAAAACCUCCUUUGUGUCCAUAUCUGUAUGCUAAUAUUGACUAAAAGUAAUUAAGUCACUUGAAUUGAAGGUAAUGUUGUCACAUUGUGGUGAAACCAUCCAUGUGCAGUUUAGUUACACCUCUGGCAAAUGACUACUUAUCAGUAAUCAUUGCACAUUUUUUCUUAAUAGUAUCAACAAAAUUGCUUUUAGCAUCAAAA